UACGUAGGGCGCAAGCGUUGUCCGGAAUUAUUGGGCGUAAAGAGCUCGUAGGCGGUUUGUCGCGUCUGCUGUGAAAACCUCAGGCUCAACCUGGGGCUUGCAGUGGGUACGGGCAGACUAGAGUGCGGUAGGGGUGACUGGAAUUCCUGGUGUAGCGGUGGAAUGCGCAGAUAUCAGGAGGAACACCGGUGGCGAAGGCGGGUCUCUGGGCCGAUAUUGACGCUGAGGAGCGAAAGCGUGGGGAGCGAACAGG
rnacentral:rRNA from 1 species